GAAAUUUGGACAUACUGAGAGACCAGGGAUGUGCAGGCACAGAGGAAAGAUGGUGUGAGGACCCAGCGGGAAGGCGGCCGUCUGCAAGCCAAGGAAAGGCUGCAGGAGAAACCAACCUUCCUGACACCUUAAUCUUGGACUUCCAGCUUCCAUAAGUGUCCACAUCUCCAUCAUCUCUCACCUGUGUUUCCUGAAAUUGCCUUGUCACCGUUCUCCCGGCUUCUCCCCCGAUGUCUGCAGACCAUUCUCAGCAUGGCGGUCAGAGUGAUCCUGUUUAAAACUCAAGUUAGGUCAUGUUUUUCCUCUGCUCAAAGCUCUGCAGCUGGGACUUCCCUGGCGGUCCAGUGGUUAAGACUCCAUGCUUCCACUGCAGGGGGCGUGGGUUUGAUCCCUGGUCCGGGAACUAAGAUCCCAUGUGCUGCAACAAAGAUCCCACGUGCCGCAACAAAGAUCCCACGUGCCGUGCCAAAAAAAAAAAAAACAACUCUGCAGCAGCUCUCCAUCCCACUCAGAGUGAAAACCAAACACCGUUAGCUCUGAGGCCCAACGUCAUCCGGCUUGGCAUUACUUCUCUGGCUUUUCUGUCUUCACUUCCCUUUGUUCUUUCUGCUCCAGCCAUUCUGGUCCACAAGCACACCAGGACACUCCUGUCUUAGGGCCUCACA